AUUGAACGCUGGCGGCGUGCCUAACACAUGCAAGUCGAGCGGUAACAGGUGUAGCAAUACAUGCUGACGAGCGGCGGACGGGUGAGUAACGCUUGGGAAUCUGCCUAUUAGUGGGGGACAACCCGGGGAAACUCGGGCUAAUACCGCAUACGCACUACGGUGGAAAGCCGGGGACCGCAAGGCCUGGCGCUAACAGAUGAGCCCAAGUCGGAUUAGCUAGUUGGUAGGGAACGGCCUACCAAGGCGACGAUCCGUAACUGGUCUGAGAGGACGACCAGUCACACCGGAACUGAGACACGGUCCGGGACUCCUACGGGAGGCAGCAGUGGGGAAUAUUGGACAAUGGGCGAAAGCCUGAUCCAGCGACGCCGCGUGGGUGGAAGAAGGG
rnacentral:rRNA from 1 species